rnacentral:rRNA from 1 species
UACGUAGGGUGCAAGCGUUUGUCCGGAAUUAUUGGGCGUAAAGAGCUCGUAGGCGGUUUGUCGCGUUCUGCUGUGAAAACCCGAGGCUCAACCUCGGGCCUGCAGUGGGUACGGGCAGACUAGAGUGGCGGUAGGGAGAUUGGAAUUCCUGGGUGUAGCGGUGGAAUGCGCAGAUAUCGAGGAGGAACACCGGAUGGAGCGA